GGCUUUGUUAUUAUCAUUAUUAUUCCUGGCUGUUUUCAGGUUUUUCUCACACAGAGUUUUUAAUGACAAUUGCCUUCGUUAUCCAAAAAGAAAGAGAUAGCAGACUGGACAACAGCAAAAUCAUAUUAAUCAGACAAAGGCAGACUUUAAAUUAAAUGGGCUGUUGUGUUCCCAUAAAAGCAGGACAAUCUCAAUACUCUAGCUCAUUGCACUUGGCAAAAGAACAUGGCAUCAGUUUUUUAACUCUAAAAUAGUUUAAUGAACACGAAUGGCGAAAUAAUUUUUCUGUGUAUUUAGCAGUCUAUAAAGAAGAGAGAAUGCUUUAACUUUGAUCGCCACAAUUAGUUCCCUGGGUAUCUAGAGGGGAACAGGGCAGCCCUGGGAGCCUCAGUUCUUUAGAUACAAAAGCAUUUAGAUCGCUUUAGAGCAGUUAAUCCUGAGACUGGCUAGGGUCCCUUUUGUUUUCUAACUCCAUUGUGGGUUUUGUUCAGUUUUUUCUAUUCGCAUGAUUGACUGCCCAAUGGAUGCUAAUUAUCCAAAUGUCGCUUCUGUCCUUUGAGUGACUUUCUAUGUAUUAUGGGCAACUGUCAUGCAUUCUGUCAUUCUAUAUCAUAUUACAUGUAUUAUCAUAUGAAAAUGGUACUCUGCAUAAAGGAAGGUGUCUGAACCAGCAGAUGCUGCAGAUAUUUAGAGGACUUGCCUAAUUUGAAUGGAUUUUCUAUAGAAAAAUUGCUCAGAAAGCAUAUAGGGGAGAGCCAGAAAUGGAAAGUUUAUCAGGUAAUUAUUUUUGUCCUUUUGCUGUUUACAUGAUAAUGUACAAAGCAUUAACUGUCUCUGCCUCUGAAAUCUGCAGCCACCUUCCUCCUCCCGAACCAGGCAACCCGUCUGUAUUUAUUAGAGUAUGACAGCUUAAGCUAAUUAAACUGAUAUCUGUCUAAAAUAAUAAGCCCAGAAAGUUAGAAUAAACAUUAUGAUUAUAAGCAGAAAAGGCAGCUAUACAAAUGCAGCAUCAAUGUUAUAUUUUAAUGAUAAUCUGCAAUUCCUGUAUGAAAAGCACUGGAUGUGGAAUUACUAACAAUAAUAAAGUUCUGCAAAG
rnacentral:lncRNA from 1 species